ACAAACACAUAUAUUUAACAACACUAUAAUUAAUACAAUAUAGAUAAAUACCAUUCAAUAUCUCAUAAAUAAGCAUUGUCAAAUAACUCAUACAUAAUUGUACUCUAAAUUCAAACUAAAAUACUAAUGGGAAAACUUGCUCAUCAACUGUUUGUGCUAACAUUGAGCCUAACUAAGUAUAUAUGAAUUCAAGUCUCCACACUUGUGCGACCACCAAAAUUUGAGUUCCAUUCCAUCUUUCAUCGAUGGCAUCAUCCAUCGUUUCAUCAGUUCAUCAUCGUCGAUGGCAUCAUUCACCAGUAUUUAUGUGCAUCUUCCGCUCUGAAUCCUGAGCCUUGACCACCCGCAAUAACAUGUCAGCAUGUCCUAAUUUAUGUAUUUACAUAAAUCUUACAAUAGUUCUGAAAUAGGAAAGCUCAUAUAAAACAGUGUUAGUUGAGUUGUGCAAGGCUAGUUGGUCUGUUUCAGCAUCUGCAGUAGCAUAUGGAGUUGAGUUGUUUUUGAAGACCUAAACAGAUGUACAUAUAUAAUUAUACAGAGCAUGCAAUAUUGACAUUUUGGAACUGUAGAUAUUGAUGAUGAUAUGAGGCAAUAUUCAGUUCUUGGAAGAUUUGUUGUGCGUUUACAGUAGGGAACUUUUUUUAGUCAUUUACAGCAGGGAAGUUUUUCUCUUUAUGUACAAAUCAUAUUGUUGAUAAAAUUUUGUGUGCAGACCUAAGUGGCAAGGUUCUCUAAAUUUGAAUAUGGAAGAUUCAUUUAACUGCAAUGCAAUGUACUGUUAUGCAAAUUGCUGAAAAAUAUGGAAAAGUUACAGUGAAUAUAGUUGGAGUUGUGACAUGGCAAGUGAUGUGUGCUGGAAGCAAUAAACAUAUGUUAUAUGCAUUGGCAGAAGAUUUGUUAGUUGUACCUAGUCCGAUAGAAGUUGUAGUCUGUAAAAAGGAAUUUGCAAUAGUUCCAUUGUUUCAAGCGUUUGGCCAACCUGUAAUAUUAGCCAAAAAUGAAUAGAUUAAACUUUGGGCAACCUGUAACAUUAGCCAAAAAAUGAACAGAUUAAAUUUUGUUGUGUAUAUGGUAAGGAGUAAUGUCAGGACAGAAAAUUAACAAUCAGUUGGUGGAUAUGAAGAUUACAAAUUUUUAGUUAGACACAUAUGAACACCUCACAUUGUCUUGUGGGUUGUUUUGAUCCACACCCUUCGCUUCGCACGAUUUUCAGCUAGCGUACCUAUUUGGAUGUACAAUGCACAUGUAUGAACAUAAGAACUAGUACAAUAUUAUAUGAAGUUAUAUGGUAUAGGAUUAAACAUUCUCUAGCAAAGCAUUAUAAGCAAGCAUAAGUAAUCACUAGAUACAUUAACUCUAACACAACAAGCAUGAUCUUCUAAUCAAUCAAACCUAACUUAAACACCAAACAAUCGUGAACCAUGUAUGGAUCUUCUUUAACUAGAACAUACACCAAAUGAUUACCAUAAUUUAAACUUAUUAGCCUUGGACAUCUACAGCUUCGAAUUUGAAUAGAAAUACUUUAACUAACUUUUUAAACCAUUUCAUCGGAUUAACUAGCAUAGCUAACACAUCACACUAUUUGUCCUAGCAAGUAGAGCAUCAUCAAAUAUUACAUAAUCUCAUUUGACUAUAACCUAGAAGCAAAAGACUUUAAGCGCCUAAAUGCACUUCCCACUAUAUAGCUCUCGGAUUACAACUGGAAUAAACCUAUUGAUGCUAUUUGCUUCCAACUAAUAAGGAUAAUGAGGAACAUUUAUUCAAGAUGAUUAACUUAAGCGACCAAUCUCCAUUUAUGAUAUUUACUCAAUCAACAACCAUAGAACAUGAUAAUUACUAAAACAAAGCAUCACUUCACCAAUUAAGAAUCAGCUAAACUUACUUAGCCAAACAAUAGUAACUUCAAGCCAACAAUUUAAUACUUGCAGAAUUUUUAGACAGCAGCACAACAGUUAAUUGUUUUAUUCAUAACUCACAAAAUAUGCAUUCAAAAAUAGUAAACUAGAACUUUCUGGAAAGCUUAGAAAGUCCUCUAUAACUCUUAUAUUAUCAUCACAACAUGAUUCGACAGUUUGAAAGGUCAAACAGUGCUAAACUUUAAUUCUGUCCAGAUUUGGACAGAAUUCGGCUACUCACUUAAAAAAAAUCAUAACUUAAGUUUAAGGCAUCCAAAUCAGGUGAUCCUAGACUUUUUAGAAAGCUAAUAGAAUUUUCUACAAUUCAUUUAUAAACAUCUCAGGUUAAUACAAUACAUAUCAAAGUCAGUUACUACAAACAGACUUCGCUGUCCAGAUUUGGACAGAUUCAGACUCUAUAGUUCAAACAGCUGUAACUUGAUCUCUAGACCACCAAAAAGGGUGCUCCAAAAUUUGUUGGAAAGCUUAAGAAAAUUACUACAAUUCUUCUAUAAUUACUAAGAGCUGAUUCUCAGUAUAGCUUAGCCAAACAAUCCAAUUUUCGAAACCUGUACAGAAUUUGGACAGAUUCUGAAACUGGACUUGGAAAAAUCAUAACUCCUAAACUACUACACCUAUGGUCAUGAAAUUUUAACACAAGCAAGAUAAAAAGAUUAUCUACAAGUUUUAUAUAUAACACUUCUACAGAAAACACGGUUUACUUUACUUAACUAGCCACUUAAUAAAAUUGGACAUGCAGUCCAAACAGCAAGAACUCUAACUUUGUUCCUAUCUAGUUUCUACAUCUAUCAUAUUCUUGACACUUAGAAUGCUUUAAUACCUUGUUAUGAAUUGGAGCUAAAACCAUUUACUUAAUCACAUAUUACAUACAUAGAACUAAUACUCUUCACAUAAAACAACAAUUCGAAUUUUAACCCGCACAUCGAACAGUAUCUCUACUUUUAACUUGCAAAUAGGGCCAUGUCAUCACAAGCACUAAAACAUUACAUCAAACAUCACACUUGCUUACUAGUAUCCUUCGUUUAGAUUUACAUCAAAAUUCUAGAUCUCAACACACGACACGACAACUUUAUAAUUAUAUAAACAACCUUAUCACUAUCUGUGGGUAGACAUUUCACAGUAUCUAAUAUGCCACCUAAUAUAACCAUACUCAUCACGAAUGAAAUUGAGGAAGAAUAUCCUUCCCAGUACAUCGCCAUAAGAAGCACACAAACACAUCCGAAGACAACCACCACAGUGCACCUAUGCUAAUCACAAAAAAAAAAUCAUCGACCACAUAACUAUUUAGCGCACCAUUCAUACAUGUACAUUUUCACACACAUAUUCACGCCAUCGACCACACGUAAUUAGAGCAAACUACAAUCACAUAAAGCGAACAACCUGGUGAAAUUAGUUCGGAUUGCGCAUGCAUGUCUACCACGGUUCUGGCUCUUCGUCGAGGAGCAAUGCGCGAAGCACGACAUCGACGGAGGGCUGCGAUUAACGACGCUCACAUAGUUUAGACAAUUUAUCAAGCACACUGAGCACAAAAACAACAGGGGUGGCGAGGCCUCACCAAGGGUGUUGCGACGUCGCGGGUUGGGGCUGCACAGGUCGAGGUGGAGCUCACUGCGGUAUUUCAUCGAGCACUUGACGAGCGUCGC
rnacentral:lncRNA from 1 species